AGAGCAUCCCAGGUUACUUGGCAAAACCCCAGGAGCUUUAACUUUACGGGUGGCACGACGUGAUAGAAACUGAUUUAUGAAGAAGAAACAAAACAAAGGCAAGAACCCCAGCCUGGUGCAGACACCUCCAUUCAAGAUGAAAGCUGCCCAGAAGGCUUGCUCCAGUGAGGAUCCCUUUUUCACUGACACCUUGUUUCACCCACAUGGGGUCCAGACCCAGCUAUGCAGCUCUACUGCUGGAAUUACCCUGUGGAGGGCAAUGCAGCUGCACUCCCUUUUCUCAUCAUGUGGACCCCUUCAAGGCCUGUACAGGUUUUAUUCAGCAGGUUAGGGACAGGAAAAUCCAUAAGUCCCCAUCUUCAGCCCCCACACAAGUCCCCUUGCAGCUGAUGAUGAGGUGCCAAUUCAAACCCAGAUUGCUUGGGGCUAGACCACAGGAAUAUCUGAGGCUUGGGAAGUGCUGCUAUCCUGCUGUGACAUCCCGGUGAGAAGUGUUCCAGGAUCUGCUGCCAGCGGCAGAAGUUCGCAGUUCGGUCACAGAUGUAAAGUAAACAGCUGUGCUGCUAAGCAAAACGAGCACUUAGGGCUGCCUGAGUUGAGAGACCUCGAGGAAAACACUUGAAGGGUCACCAACCCCUGGGCUCUGCUACGAGUUCCCACUGCAACAGCUGCCUGACUGAGAACUCUGGUGACCCCCAAGGAGGAGGGAAAGAUGGACCUCUUGAUUUUAGAGUAGCAGGGACAUCCAGUGAGGGGCAAAUGCAAGCAGCUCCUUUCAGAUGAGGCAGCAAACUCUGAGGCCAAAGCCUCUUCCUGGAAGUCUGGCUCCAUUCCUCAGCAGCAUCCAGCUGAGCCCUGGAGUUUCCCCCAAGGAUAGCACGGGGCUGGAAGAUACCGUGGUGGUGAGAGCAUUGUUUUAGCCAGCUCUGCAGAAGGGUCCGGGGAAACUCUGAAACCCAACUCUUCAGGAGGUCAUGACUACCCAAGCAAAAAGGCAGAAACUUCUCAGUUGAGACAAACUAAUGGGCUGUGGUAGCAACAGAGAGAACCAGACACUUCAACAGCAGAAGCAGAGGAUUGCUUAAGUCCCCAGAUAUUCCAAGAGAGAGAAAACAGCCUCUGGUGUGAGAAAAAGAUGCAGCCCUUGCCUGAUGCACCGAGAAUGAACUCGCAGAGACAAGAACAAAUCUUCCCCAAAUAAAGCAAAAAACUAAAC